GAUGAACGCUGGCGGCGUGCCUAAUACAUGCAAGUCGAGCGAACAGAUAAGGAGCUUGCUCCUUUGACGUUAGCGGCGGACGGGUGAGUAACACGUGGGUAACCUACCUAUAAGACUGGAAUAACUCCGGGAAACCGGGGCUAAUGCCGGAUAACAUUUAGAACCGCAGGGUUCUAAAGUGAAAGAUGGUUUUGCUAUCACUUAUAGAUGGACCCGCGCCGUAUUAGCUAGUUGGUAAGGUAACGGCUUACCAAGGCAACGAUACGUAGCCGACCUGAGAGGCUGAUAGGCCACCCUGGAACUGAGCCACGGUCCAGACUCCUACGGGAGGCAGCAGUAGGGAAUCUUCCGCAAUGGGCGAAAGCCUGACGGAGCAACGCCGCGUGAGUGAUGAAGGUCUUCGGAUCGUAAAACUCUGUUAUUAGGGAAGAACAAAUGUGUAAGUAACUGUGCACGUCUUGACGGUACCUAAUAAGAAAGCCACGGCUAACUACGUG
rnacentral:rRNA from 1 species